rnacentral:rRNA from 1 species
GAUUCAUAAUAACUAAACGAAUCGCAUGGCCUUUGCGCCGGCGAUGGUUCAUUCAAAUUUCUGCCCUAUCAACUUUCGAUUGUAGGAUAGAGGCCUACAAUGGUUUCAACGGGUAACGGAGAAUUAGGGUUCGGUUCCGGAGAGGGAGCCUGAGAAACGGCUACCACAUCCAAGGAAGGCAGCAGGCGCGCAAAUUACCCAAUCCCGACACGGGGAGGUAGUGACAAUAAAUACUGAUACAGGGCUCUUUUGGGUCUUGUAAUUGGAAUGAGUACAAUUUAAAUCCCUUAACGAGGAACAAUUGGAGGGCAAGUCGGGUGCCAGCAGCCGCGGUAAUUCCAGCUCCAAUAGCGUAUAUUAAAGUUGUUGCAGUUAAAAAGCUCGUAGUUGAACCUUGGGUCUGGCUGGCCGGUCCGCCUCACCGCGUGCACUGGUCCGGCCGGACCUUUCCUCUUGGGGAUCCACAUGCCCUUUGCUGGGUGUGUUUGGGGAACCAGGACUUUUAC